rnacentral:rRNA from 1 species
AACGAACGCUGGCGGCAUGCCUAACACAUGCAAGUCGAACGAGACCUUCGGGCUUAGUGGCGCACGCGUGCGUAACGCGUUGGAACCUGCCUUUAGGUUUGGCAUAACUCAGAGAAAUUUGAGCUAAUACCGGAUGAUAUCUUCGGACCAAAGAUUUAUCGCCUUUAGAUGGGCCCGCGUUGGAUUAGCUAGUUGUUGGGGUAAAGGCCUACCAAGGCGUGGAUCCAUAGCUGGUCUGAGAGGAUGAUCAGCCACACUGGGGCUGAGACACGGCCCAGACUCCUGCGGGAGGCAGCAGUGGGGGAUAUUGGACAAUGGGCGAAAGGCUGAUCCAGCAAUGACGGGUGAGUGAUGAAGGCCUUAGGGUUGUAAAGCUCUUUUACCCGAGAUGAUAAUGACAGUAUCGGGAGAAUAAGCUCCGGCUAACUCCGUG